rnacentral:rRNA from 1 species
AACGCGAAGAACCUUACCCAGGCUUGACAUGCAGAGGAAGACUCUGGAAACAGAGAGGCCCGCAAGGGCCUCUGCACAGGUGCUGCAUGGCUGUCGUCAGCUCGUGCCGUGAGGUGUUUGGUUAAGUCCAGCAACGAGCGCAACCCUUAUCGUUAGUUGCCAACACGUAAAGGUGGGAACUCUAACGAGACUGCCCGGGUGAACCGGGAGGAAGGUGAGGACGACGUCAAGUCCGCAUGGCCCUUAUGUCUGGGGCUACACACGUGCUACAAUGGCCGGUACAGAAGGCAGCGAAGCCGCGAGGUGGAGCAAAUCCCAAAAGCCGGCCCCAGUUCAGAUUGUAGUCUGCAACUCGACUACAUGAAGACGGAAUUGCUAGUAAUGGCGAGUCAGCAGAUCGCCGUGAAUACGUUCCCGGGCCUUGUACACACCGACGCGUA